rnacentral:sRNA from 1 species
GAUGAGAAGCUUCGACUAAGGUUCGAUUCGAGCGUCAGCGAGAAAGCGUUGCCGCAGGCAACGACCCGAAGGGCGAAGCGCGCAGCGCUGAGUCAUCCUUCCCCCACCACCA